rnacentral:rRNA from 1 species
UACGAAGGGGGCUAGCGUUGCUCGGAAUCACUGGGCGUAAAGGGUGCGUAGGCGGCUUUGCAAGUCAGAGGUGAAAGCCCGGGGCUCAACCCCGGAAUUGCCUUUGAGACUGCAUCGCUAGAAUUGUGGAGAGGUAAGUGGAAUUCCGAGUGUAGAGGUGAAAUUCGUAGAUAUUCGGAAGAACACCAGUGGCGAAGGCGACUUACUGGACACAUAUUGACGCUGAGGUGCGAAAGCGUGGGGAGCAAACAGG